rnacentral:lncRNA from 1 species
UGUGUCUUACGUGGACAUCCCCCCAUAUUGUUGCAUUCAUCUCAAUUGGUCACUUACUUGACAUUUGGAUUUCCAACCAAACCCCUAUUUCCUAGCUACUUCCUACGUACCUAGUCCUCUUUUAGAAAAAAGUCACUUGAUAUUAUAGUCUGGAAAUUGAAACACGAAUUGAAUGGUCUACUCUAGUCGGUCUUUCGUUGUACCUUGAUAGACGAGUUUAGCAUACAAGAUUCCCCUUUUUCGAGUUGUUCCUCAUGCCUUUGGGUAUCAAUCUUUAGUUGAGUUAUCGGAAAAUGCAGUAAGAAUCUCAUUUUUUGGAAAUACAAAAAUUGAAACACGAAUUGUAACCUCUUGAACAGUCUAAUAUAGUCGACCUUUCGUUGUAUCUUGGUAGACGAGUUUAGCAUCCAAGAGUCCCCCUUUUUGAGUUAUUCCUCAAGCCUUUGAGCAUCUAACUCCACUUAAGAGUCAUCAGAAGAUUAGUAAGAAUCUCAUUUUUUUUGGUAAUACAAACGUGGAAUUUGAUAUAAAUUGAAUGGGGAUUCAUACAUUGUCAAGUAUUGACGACUGACUUAAAAUGUAUGUUAGAAUGCAUAAAAUGAUCGUCUAUCUCACGACUCACUAGUUUUGUCUGAGGUUGAUACAAGCACGACCGUGAUUGUAGACCAAAACGUUGAGACUCGAGCUCGUGGGCUGCCCGACCAAUGGAACAAGCUUUGAAGUGUAGAGGACAAGUCCCCAACACUCUAAAGCCGCCCCAAAUGCACACUCCAAGACCACCCCUUAGCCAUGGCUCAUUAAGGGCAUUCUAGUCAUUUUGUAUUAAGUUGUAACCUAGGCUAUAAAUAGAACAUGUUAGGUCAUUUUCUCAUAACUUUGAUGAUAUUUUGGGAGCUCUAGAGAGAGAGAGUCUUGCAAGGUGGAUUCCUUGUAAACAAGUGUGGAUAUCACUUGUGUUGGUGCUAGUUUUGAAACGUUGGUUGCUUGGGAAUCCCAUUCCCUUGAGGUCACCAUAGAGUUUGGUGUUACUUGUAUGAAUUCUUGGGUCUUUGUGUUUAAUAUACACUUAGGUUCAUAGUGUUUGUACAUUUGUAUGUCAAGUUACCUAUCUAUCUAUCUAUCUAUUUCGUUGUUGUUGUUGUUCAUUCUCGGGUUUGGUGUCCCAAAACUGAGACUUUGUGUUCUUCUUGUUCUUGUGAUUGUGUUUUUAAUCUAGUUUGUUGGCUCGCUGAUUUUAGAGGUGUUGAAGACCUUAUAUGUUGUUGUUAUUGUGUUUUCGUUGUUGUUGUUGUAUGAAUCCAAGAGUGGUCACCAAAGAGGUCAUCAGUUCUUCUAACUUGUG